UUUAUUUACAUGUACUUUUUAGACUUAUCAGCGCACAAAUAUAUUUUUGUUUUAAAGUAAAAAAACAGGUCCUUGGAAUGAUACUGAUAAAGAGGGAUUGCACAACUAUUUUUUUUUCUUUCUUAAAUCAAUGAUUUUUUUCUUUCUAUAAAUCGAGACAGAAAAUAACCAAAAAAAAGCAACCUCUUUCAAUACAAUUUCAAUGGAUUCCUUACUCAGUCAUUUCAGUGCUUAUGUUCAUGUUAUAUUUCAGUACACACAUGUUGCAUGUCACAUCAAUGUUAUUUCUUGUUUACAGGUGAAAAAUGUCAACAUUUUAUACAUUGUAACAACAUUUCAUCCAUUCAUGUCAGUACAUCAUGCAUACAAAUAUGAUACAAUGCAGGUUAUGCAGUUCAAAAGUAAUCCUGUUUCAAAUGUUGUCAAUAUAUAUUUUAGUAAUUCAUUAUUGAAAGAUAUUGUAAAAGAAAAUACUAGAAAGUUUUCAAAUCAUACAUGAAAUGAAAUCCACUUGACAAAAAGUCAUGCAAAUGCAAUUUUAAAUGUUGAAGGGCAUAUGGUAGAUAAUAUAAAUGUUAGGUGUUGGUGGUAAGCAUAACAAAAAUGGUGGAAAUGUACCCAAGGUCAUCAAUUUUGCUAAGUUAAUUUGAAAGCAUUUGCAAAGAAAAUUUACAGAAAGAAUUUUUUAGCACAUAAAAUCAACAGCAGGGCCAGUGGCAUAAAAUUAAAGGCAAAUGAUGAGACUUUUUACUUCUGAUAUCAUUAAUGAGUUCUAAUUUAUGGCAGUAAUUUGGAUAACAUUUUGAAGUUCGGCAAGAAAGACUGCACAAUAACGAUUCAUUAGGAAUAACUGCAUUUCAGUUUAGCUCUAGAAAACAUAAAUUAGAUCUUCACCAUUAACAAAUAUAUUUUUAGCAUAAAAAUGAGCAAAUGGACCUUAUUUAUUUUCGAUUGCAGUCCAUUGUUUACAUUUCAAGAAAAUUUCGAGAAAAAUUAACAGUUACGCAUUUGUUGUAAACAUUAUAUACUGAUUUCUAAUACAUGAAAAAUGAAAAAUGGAAACUGAAAAAUAUAGAAAAUGUAAUUCAUAUAGGUAUAUUUUUCUUUGCAUAUUUCGGGAGAGCAAAACAAAGUUGAAUUUGAGUCUAAAUUUCAAGAAACUAUCAAGGGUAGAUCCCUUUUGUAUCAUAUGCCCUUAAAUAUAUAUAUUUUUUUUUAUCAAAAGCAGUGAAAAUUAAAAAAAAAAAAGAAUCUAUUUCUAGUAACAAUGCAUUCUUAGAAUGAAUUUGUAGAUAGCCAUAAUAUUUAAUACUGUUUUUAUAAUGAAUUCUACUUCCCUAAAUAAAUUAUUUUUUCUACUUUUCAAAACAAAUUGAAUCAACAAAGGAAAGCAACUAAGAAUAUUUUUAUAUCUACCAUAGCUAUUUUAGACUUAUAAAUUCCUAUAAUAUCUUCAAACCAAAAUGAUAAACCAACUGGUAAAAACCUUUAUGAAAGCAUAAUACAAUGAAAAUGUCUAUGGAGAGGAUAUGUGUUAUCUUUUUUUCAAUACAUACAUAAUAAUAGUAACGGCAAUACCUUCUAUUUAUCAUGUUUAUUACAGGAUUUUUUCUUAUUGUCAAUUUUUGACAUAAUUUAUAAAAUCAACUUAAUCUGAUGAAAAAGAUUUAAAGAAAAAGGCAUAUUAUGACAAGAAAUAAGUCAAUCUAUAAUUUACAUAUCUUAUGUAGAAAGGGAUUUUUUCAGAUGUCUUAUCACCUUCUUAUAGAAGUUAUGUACUUUUUGAUAUUUUACACAAUGCAAAUAACUGAAUAUAUUCUAUUAUUGUGCUUUUUGAUUAAAUAAUGUUAUAUAACAGUUUUCACUUGUCUCUGUUUUGUUUGAUUGGAUGGUCCCUUUUCACAAGAACAUGUAAACUGUAUUACAGUGUAAAUUCAGAAAUUAUUGUGUGCAUUUAUUAUUGCAAUUUUUGAAGACUGGAAAAGUAUUAACCAUUGGGAUUUCCGGAAAACCUGCACACAGAUAAAUGUAUUAGAUAUCAAUAUACAAAUUCUCAUUAUUGCCAUACUCACCAACUUGCAAUUUUUACGUAAAAAUAAAAACCUUUCAA
rnacentral:lncRNA from 1 species